rnacentral:rRNA from 1 species
GACGAACGCUGGCGGCGUGCCUAAUACAUGCAAGUUGAGCGCUGAAGGUUGGUACUUGUACCGACUGGAUGAGCAGCGAACGGGUGAGUAACGCGUGGGGAAUCUGCCUUUGAGCGGGGGACAACAUUUGGAAACGAAUGCUAAUACCGCAUAAAAACUUUAAACACAAGUUUUAAGUUUGAAAGAUGCAAUUGCAUCACUCAAAGAUGAUCCCGCGUUGUAUUAGCUAGUUGGUGAGGUAAAGGCUCACCAAGGCGAUGAUACAUAGCCGACCUGAGAGGGUGAUCGGCCACAUUGGGACUGAGACACGGCCCAAACGCCUACAGGAGGCAGCAGUAGGGAAUCGUCGGCAAUGGACGAAAGUCUGACCGAGCAACGCCGCGUGAGUGAAGAAGGUUUUCGGAUCGUAAAACUCUGUUGGUAGAGAAGAACGUUGGUGAGAGUGGAAAGCUCAUCAAGUGACGGUAACUACCCAGAAAGGGACGGCUAACUACGUG